CCUACGGGUGGCAGCAGUGAGGAAUAUUGGUCAAUGGGCGCGAGCCUGAACCAGCCAAGUAGCGUGAAGGAUGACAGCCCUAUGGGUUGUAAGCUUCUUUUAUAAGGGAAUAAAGUGACCCACGUGUGCGUUUUUGUAUGUACCUUAUGAAUAAGCAUCGGCUAAAUACGUGCCAGCAGCCGCGGUAAUACGGAGGAUGCGAGCGUUAUCCGGAUUUAUUGGGUUUAAAGGGAGCGUAGGCGGGUCGCUAAGUCGGGUGUGAAAGUCGGGGGCCCAACCGUAACAGUGCAGUUGAAACUGGGGGGCUUGAGUACGGAUAGGGUAGAGGGAAUUCGUGGUGUAGCGGUGAAUGGCUAAGAUAUCACGAAGAACUCCGAUGGCGAAGGCAGUGUACUGGAGGGCGACUGACGCUGAGGCUCGAAAGUGUGGGUAGCAAACAGGAUUAGAUACCCGAGUAGUC
rnacentral:rRNA from 1 species